GAGUUUGAUCGUGGCUCAGAUUGAACGCUGGCGGCAUGCCUUACACAUGCAAGUCGAACGGCAGCAUGAUCUAGCUUGCUAGAUUGAUGGCGAGUGGCGAACGGGUGAGUAAUACAUCGGAACGUGCCCUGUAGUGGGGAUAACUAGUCGAAAGAUUAGCUAAUACCGCAUACGACCUGAGGGUGAAAGUGGGGGACCGCAAGGCCUCAUGCUAUAGGAGCGGCCGAUGUCUGAUUAGCUAGUUGGUGGGUAAAGGCCCACCAAGGCGACGAUCAGUAGCUGGUCUGAGAGGACGAUCAGCCACACUGGGACUGAGACACGGUCCAGACUCCUACGGGAGGCAGCAGUGGGGAAUUUUGGACAAUGGGCGAAAGCCUGAUCCAGCAAUGCCGCGUGUGUGAAGAAGGCCUUC
rnacentral:rRNA from 1 species